UCAGAUGGCCGGAUGGCCGCUGCAUUCGUGCAGAGGAAAGUCCGGGCUCCACGGAAACACGGUGCCGGAUAACGUCCGGCGGGGGCGACCCCAGGGAAAGUGCCACAGAAAGCAAACCGC
rnacentral:RNase_P_RNA from 1 species